rnacentral:rRNA from 1 species
GGCGGCAUGCCUACACAUGCAAGUCGAACGGCAGCACAGUAGAGCUUGCUCUAUGGGUGGCGAGUGGCGGACGGGUGAGUAAUGCAUCGGGAUCUACCCAAACGUGGGGGAUAACGUAGGGAAACUUACGCUAAUACCGCAUACGUCCUAAGGGAGAAAGCGGGGGACCGAAAGGCCUCGCGCGGUUGGACGAACCGAUGUUCGAUUAGCUAGUUGGUAGGGUAAUGGCCUACCAAGGCGACGAUCGAUAGCUGGUCUGAGAGGAUGAUCAGCCACACUGGAACUGAGACACGGUCCAGACUCCUACGGGAGGCAGCAGUGGGGAAUAUUGGACAAUGGGCGCAAGCCUGAUCCAGCAAUGCCGCGUGUGUGAAGAAGGCCUUCGGGUUGUAAAGCACUUUUAUCAGGAGCGAAAUACUACUGGCUAAUAACCGGUGGGGCUGACGGUACCUGAGGAAUAAGCACCGGCUAACUUCGUGCCACCAGCCGCGGUAAUACG